UUUUUGGAGAGUUUGAUCCUGGCUCAGAACGAACGCUGGCGGCGUGCUUAACACAUGCAAGUCGAACGAGAAGUACA
rfam:Nitrospirae bacterium GWC2_57_9 gwc2_scaffold_27508, whole genome shotgun sequence.